UACGGGGGGAGCAAGCGUUGUUCGGAUUUACUGGGCGUAAAGGGCGCGUAGGCGGCGCAUUUAGUCAGGCGUGAAAGCCCUGGGCUCAACCUGGGAACCGCGCUUGAGACUGGCGGACUCGAGUUCGGGAGAGGAUGGUGGAAUUCCCAGUGUAGAGGUGAAAUUCGUAGAUAUUGGGAAGAACACCGAUGGCGAAGGCAGCCAUCUGGACCGACACUGACGCUGAGGCGCGAAAGCGUGGGGAGCAAACAGG
rnacentral:rRNA from 1 species